UAUGGUGGAAAUAGCCUAAUGGUAGAGUAUAGUCUUGCCAAGAUUCAGGUUGAGGGUUCAAGUCCCUUUUUAUGCUUGGAGGGUUAUUUA